rnacentral:rRNA from 1 species
UACAGGGGGUGCAAACGUUGCUCGGAAUCAUUGGGCGUAAAGCGCACGUAGGCGGUUCGUUAUGUCGGAUGUGAAAGCCCUUGGCUUAACCGAGGAAGUGCAUCCGAAACUGGCGAGCUAGAGUACUAAAGAGGAUCGCGGAAUUCCCGGUGUAGAGGUGAAAUGCGUAGAUAUCGGAAGGAACACCGGUGGCGAAAGCGGCGCGCUGGACCUCUUCUGACGCUGAGGCGCGAAAGCCAGGGGAGCGAACGGG